rnacentral:rRNA from 1 species
UACAGAGGUCUCAAGCGUUGUUCGGAUUCAUUGGGCGUAAAGGGUGCGUAGGUGGCUUGGUAAGUUGAAGGUGAAAUCUCGGGGCUUAACUCCGAAACUGCCUUCAAUACUGCUGAGCUCGAGGAUUGUAGAGGAGAAUGGAAUUCACGGUGUAGCAGUGAAAUGCGUAGAUAUCGUAAGGAAGACCAGUGGCGAAGGCGAGUUCCUGGACAGUUGCUGACACUGAGGCACGAAGGCUAGGGGAGUAAACGGG